rnacentral:rRNA from 2 species
ACAUCCACAGAAGAAUCCAGAGAUGGAUUUGUGCCUUCGGGAACUGUGAGACAGGUGCUGCAUGGCUGUCGUCAGCUCGUGUUGUGAAAUGUUGGGUUAAGUCCCGCAACGAGCGCAACCCUUAUCCUUUGUUGCCAGCGGUCCGGCCGGGAACUCAAAGGAGACUGCCAGUGAUAAACUGGAGGAAGGUGGGGAUGACGUCAAGUCAUCAUGGCCCUUACGACCAGGGCUACACACGUGCUACAAUGGCGCAUACAAAGAGAAGCGACCUCGCGAGAGCAAGCGGACCUCAUAAAGUGCGUCGUAGUCCGGAUUGGAGUCUGCAACUCGACUCCAUGAAGUCGGAAUCGCUAGUAAUCGUGGAUCAGAAUGCCACGGUGAAUACGUUCCCGGGCCUUGUACACACCGCCCGUCACACCAUGGGAGUGGGUUGCAAAAGAAGUAGGUAGCUUAACCUUCGGGAGGGCGCUUACCACUUUGUGAUUCAUGACUGGGGUGAAGUCGUAACAAGGUAACCGUAGGGGAACCUGC